GCGGGUGUAGUUCAAUGGUAGAACUUCAGCUUCCCAAGCUGAUAACGAGGGUUCGAUUCCCUUCACCCGCUCCA
rnacentral:tRNA from 1 species